AAUCGUGCAACGUAUUUAUAGUGACGUAGCUGCAAGAUCAUCUUACAGCUACGUGACAACCUACAUCUUGUCAAGAUGUGGGUUGUCACACAUUUUUAAUUGGUUUUAACAAUAAAUGAAAUAAAAUUGGACAAACUUCAAUAUCUUAAACUUUAAGCUAAGAUGUGAUUCAACAUUGUAUUGAUAAUAGAAAAACAAUUUCUAAUUGAUAAUGUCCGACAUAUAUAAUUUUUUUGAGUUCAUAAUCUCUUUACAUAAAUUUUAAAAAUAUAUUUCCUUGGACUCCAGUUAAAUUAAGGAUGAAAUAAUAAUUAGAAAUGCAGAUUGUCUCACGUUUCGAAUACGGUGUAAGGGAUCCUUGCCAAUCUUGGGAACUGGGUGAUCAAUAGUUUAAUGAUUAAACUUACAAGCCAUCGUUGUGAGAAAGGAUAAACUGGAUUCCAUGUUCCAAAAAGUUAUUACUUGGAGGGAACCUCACAGUAAAAAAUUAAGUUACCUUGUGAAGAUAAUUUUUCACGAUUGUAGUGAAUUUAAUUUUUUAGGAAAUAUGUAUGUACAUAAUUUUAAGUAAUUCAUUAGAAUGUCGCUGAGCGGAAAAUGUAAGAAAUACGUAGGAUUUUCUGUGACAAAACAGAACACAUGAAAUUGGAUUUUCCACUUUUUUCAACCACAAUAGUUGUAAAGUAGUGAUUUCCAUGUCUCAGUUUACGUUUCGUUUGUGAUUUUUUCAAAAAAAGCAGAACUAUGCACACAAAGAUCACUUAGUAAAUAUGAAGGGUAUCCUAAAUUUCAAAUUAUAUUCGAAUUUCGUAAAAAGAUACCACUAAACUGGUCAAAAUGAAUUUAUCCGAUUCCCACAAUAAUUCUAGGAGGGAAUUAUAUACAAUGUGUAAACGCAUCUAGACAAAUAUGUAUUUUACGUCCCAAAUCUAGCUUUGGUUAGUUAGUACAAAUUUAGAAAAUUAGGCAGGGUAAGCACGGGGGCGCAGAAUCCUCCAUUGUCGCAUCAUGGGUAUGUAUACGGUUAAUUUAUCCAUGUUCAUAGGUCUCCCGUGACUCCUGGCUUAGAAUAAGUGUUGCCGAAUGUAAAUAGGUCACGCAUAUAUCACAAAUACAAAUCUGAGGCUGGCAAUUUGGUAUAAAAUAUUAGCCACUAUGACUUUUUCCAUGCAGUCGAUGCUAUUUGAAUUAAUGCGAUGAAUUUUUCUCUAUUCAUCACUUCGUUGUAUACUCAAGCAACAAAUGCAUUAGAAAAUUCGAAAUAAAACCCUCUACUAAUGGGACAUCAUUCAUUGUCGGUGGCGUCAAAGCGUCGCAUGCCGGCAAUCUCUAAGGUGAUGACAAUGAUUUUUAUAGCUUUGAAUAAUUAAAGCUUUGAAGGCUUUUAGUUUUAUGAACUUAAAACUUUUUAAAUUAAUAAAACUAAAGUAAGUAAUUUUGUUACGCAAAUGGGAUAAAUGUACAAACUGAUCACGGGCUGGACGACAGCUUAUAAUAUGUGACGCAUUAAUGCUUACAUAACCUUGUUCUCAAUACUCCGUUAAAUUUGCCGGUAUCUAAUUUACGGACCAAUUUCUUGCACUGUUCACACUUUACAUUAAAAAUAACGUGUUUAAAACAAACUUAACUUAAUUAUAAAAUUCAGGUUUGUUGGCCAAGUGAUCAAGCUUUACAAGGAAGUCCACAUGGCCAAUGAGUAUUGUGACUGGAAAAUGAAUAUGUUAGGAUUACAUUCAUGAAAGUAGCACUGCUUAAAAUUAUCGGAAAAAGGUGAUCUAUCCGGGUGGAAGGGUAUCCAUCACAAGUUCAUCUUGGCAAUAUUGAAAUUGAACACUAUAAGCAGUCAUUGCCGCCAUGUAUCCUCCAACACUAUGCCCCUAUAGGAUUGUGCUUGAAGGUGUCGCCAUCGACUCACGGCACAUCGUCCCAAUAAAAUUGUUUGAACAUUUAUUGCUACGUAAGGGAUGAAGCUGUUUGCGGCUACACGCAUGGGAUACCAAGUUGAAAAGGUCAGAACACGAGUAUGGUUUUCGUUUGAGAUUUAAAAAUAUCUGACGUAACUCGUCUGGCCGUGUUAUUAAGUUCUGGCCAUCUAAUAUUAUACCCCCAUAUUAUUCUAUAACUUUUAAAUACAUACCUAGCCCUUGAAAUCUAAGUUUUCUUGAUUUGUUAUACCGUCGAAAAGGUUAUCAAGAAAAAACCUUUUCGACGGUAUAACAAAUCUGUUAUUUUGAAAACCAAUUGAUGAUUAAUUUUUACAAUAAUAAAAAGUGCAUAAAUUCAGAACACAAACCAAAACUUUAGAGGCGAAAUACCUGUGAAUGAGUUAGGGAGUAACUCAGCCGGGUUUUUCGGUAAUAAUAUUCUUGUCAGGUGUCCUGGAAUAUUAAAAAUUUUCAAAACGGUCUGGCCAAUAUGCUUCUCAAUGUCAAUUGAGGUUAAACUGGCGGUGCAGUAUUUGAUGAAAAAAGUUCCACCAAAAUUAGGGGAUAGUUCAAUAUCCAUUGUUAAAGAAGCUAAAUUUAGAUUUAUAUUCCUCUUUUUACCUCUUUAUACCCUCACGGGUCCGAAGCGGUCUCGAUAGGGAUAGAAUAAAAUCACACUCAUAUUUUUUAUGAGUGUGAAGAAAUUAAUGAGAAUUAAUGAGAAUUGUCACGUCAGGUGAAAUAAGAUAUAUUUACGGUAUCCUUGAUGGAUAUUGUUGUCCGUUCCUCCAUGAUGUACACCUUAUAUGUAUAUCCGAGAUAUUUUUUGAAUAGUAGUGAAUAUUAUAUUUGAUGGGUAGUGACAGGAAAAAAUGUAAUUUUACUAUUACUCUAAUUCCCAAGACUAAUAAACUCAUCCUCAAAAAUUUGGGGUGCAAUUUGGAAAGUAUUUGGGGGUAUUUCUUUAAUCAAAUCUGCGAAAGUGGAGAAACUGGAAAGAAUCUAAGAAUUUUAUUUUGUUAUCAAAGAUUACACUUACAUAGUGCUCGGAAUUCGAGGGAAUAAUCUUGACAUCAAUUUCCCUUUCAAUCCCAUUCAGAAUAAAAUGAGAAUCAUAACGAGAAAACUUAUGAGCGAUAACUGGGAUUGCCUGCUUUUGUAUUUUAGUUGAAGAUUACAUAGAGAAUGACAAGCGCCAACAUACUUUGAAUCACAGUGACUAUGAUGACUACACUUUAAUAAAUCUUCCACUAAAGGAGUACUGAGUCUUGUAAUAUAUUCUCUGCUUUCCGACACAAAUGGCUCUUCACACAGCCAGCAGUGUGUUGAUGACUCAAAAUUUUUCCUAUCAUCUUUCUUAAAACACAUUGGUAAAUCAAUGUGAAUAAGAACAUCAAGAAUUUCAAAUAAUUCAUACGAAUGAUUUAUAAAAUUAGUGAUUGCGCCCUCUCCUCUAAAAUUUUUUUGAUGAAUGAUUUUUUUCUGAAAAUCCUGUAAAAGAACCCUAUAGCUAUGGGUUCAUGCACUUGAUAUAAUUCAGUACGUGGGGACAAAGGAUUUCCGAAACUGGAGCAGAUUUCGUAAAACACUACAGGUCUGCAUAUAUGACAAAAGGUAAUUUCAUUAAAGCAUAAUGGUUCCUAAAUGUUAAGCACUCUCCGUCCGCGAGUAGCUCAGCUUAACCACAAAAUUUACCCUUCCCACAUUUUACCUGAUGUGUUAAUCUUACAUCUUCAUCAUAAAAUCCUUUUAAACAUCAAAAACAAAAAAAAUAUUUUUGAACCCAUUUUUCCUAACCCUAACAGAUUGGAGAGAAGGAUAGGAGAGAAUAUUUGAUGGGUAGUGAAGGUAAAAAAAAGUAAUUUUACUAUUACCCUAAUUCCCUGUAAAUAGUACUAAGAAUUUCUGAAAAAAUAUACCCGUAAAGGUAUAAAUCUGGUAUAGUGGUAUUUCAUAAUGUAAAUUUAUAAAUAUAUAUAUUUAAUUUAGACUGACAAUUAAAAGUAGGUACCUUUAAAAAAGUGGUUAAAUUAGUACAACAGUAUAUAAUUCAUACUAUAUAGCACAUUUUACCAUAUUAUUAUUGCCUGUUAAAUUAUGAAGUUCCCAUUUCACAUCUUCCAGAUCUGUUUGGAUUUUCUCAAGUAGAGUGGUCAUAUUUAUGGUGUCAUUCUGUUCUGAAAGAAACUCACUGUAGGAUACCGCUUCUAUUUAGACAACAUGUCCUGAUCCAAAGUACUAUAUAAGGUGUUUCCUGCUACUAAUUAAAUAGUAUGUUGACUCCCAUUUUUCAAGUAUUAAUAUUUUGUAUUAUACUUAUUGGUAGUGCUCUCUUGAAGUACAGCUGUGGUCGAGGCAAUUUGCGCGAAGUUUUUUAGGUGACGCACUAGGUUAGGUUAUCCAUUUCAACGUUUAGGUUAACAAGCGUUUUAUUAAAUUGAAAAUCCAUCGUACGAAUGUUCUGAGUCAUAGCGAUGAAUGCAAUCAAUAUGACUAUGAAAUUUAUCUUGCUAAAAUUUAUGAAAUUACUAACUGGUAACCUUUAGAGGAAAAUACUGUUAGAAGUCGAGAAAAACCGACCACUAAAAUAACUAGUUUAUUUGAAAAUCGCAGUAAUUCAAUUGAAUUUAUAAUUCUAUUAGUAUAACAUGCAUCUCUUAAUCUUACGACUUCACCAUUGUUUUCUAAAUAUAAAUACGUGCAAUCAAAAUCCAUUUCGGCGUUACCAAAAGUUAUGGUUUCGUGUGAAGACAUUCAACCUUUGAAUGUAGGUUAAUUGAUUAAAAAUCCGGCGAGCAUGCUAGUUUCGAUAAAAAAGGCAGUAUUAAUUUCACAAAAUUUUAAAGUUGUUACAUUUUGGAAUUAACCUGGUAAAUCUAUAUAGGUCAUAUAAUUUGAAUUUCGCUUAAUUAAUUACUAAAGGUUUCUGAAAAUUUAUAAUGGAAGCGAUAAAACCUUGCAAGAGCUCAUGCAUGCUUCUAUUUCUGGUAUCGUGUGCAAUCUAGAUUUAUACAUAACUUUACUUGUACAUAGAUACGUAGAAUUCACUGCCGUCAAUAUUAUCAAAGGAUGAUUUUUAUAUGUUGAGCCAGAAGUGGUAACACUGGCCUACUAUGUAAGAUGCUAAUGAAGGAACAUAUAUUUUAGUAAGCGAGAGAAAAUGCGUAUGUGUUCUUUUGCCUUUUUGAUAUGAUAAGUCCUCUGACCAGAUAUUGUUUAAAAUUUGUUCACAACCUCUGGUAAAGUUAUUGAAUCAUAGUUUUUUUCUAGUCUAGUAAAUGUACGUAUGUUAGAGUAAGAUUACCCAGUAAUAAUAUUCAACCGUCAUUAUGGCUGAUUUAAUACGUAAUACUUCUGUAAAUAUGUGGAACAAUUGUAAAGUUCUAUUGCACUUUAAUUUAUUUAACCAAAUUUAAUACCAAGUUUUGCAUAGUCUUUAGAUAUAUAUAUAUAUAUAUAUAUAUUGUAAAAUUAUAUUAAGUAUCUAAUACUUUAUUUUAAUAUGUGCACAAUAUGUAUCAUUUAAGCGUUACUAUAAAUAAAAAACCUUCAGUGUGCAGUGUUGA